UUUUCUGAGAGUUUGAUUCUGGCUCAGAACGAACGCUGGUAGCGUGGAUUAGGCAUGCAAGUCGGACGGGAUCCGGAAGGUAGCAAUAUCGGCCGGUGAGAGUGGCGGACUGGGGAGGAACACGUGAGCAACUUGCCCGCAGGACGGGGAAAACCGUUGGAAACGACGGCUAAUACCGGAUGCGGCGCGCAUGGGACAUCCCGUGCGCGCCAAAGGGGGCCGCAAGGCUCCCGCCCGCGGAGAGGCUCGCGCACCAUCAGCUAGUUGGCGAGGUAACGGCCCACCAAGGCCUACGGUUAGCUGGUCUGAGAGGAUGACCAGCCCCACUGGGACUGAGACACU
rnacentral:rRNA from 1 species